rnacentral:lncRNA from 1 species
UUCAUUUGUAUGUUUCACAACGAAGAAGAAAUUUAGUGAAGAAAUCAAUUGACGGAGAGGAUGAUCUUACCAUAACGUAAGUCAGCUCAUUUCAUUGCUUAGAAUUUGACCUUACAUGACCUAGCUAGGUCAGUUGACUUCAUUGCUUAGAAAAUAUUGUUAGUUAUAGAUAUUGUUUGUUACAUAGCUCUAUAUGAAAUUACUGAAAAUGUUAUGUAUCUUUUAUAUAUAUUAAAUUUAAUGUAUGUGAAUAAAAUUGAAUAACAAAAAUACCGAACUCUGAGAAAAAUCUGAAGUCAAAACCUCAAACACAUCAAAUGAAUGGAUAAAAACUCUCACAGUCCUGCUUUGGUACAUGCAUUUCCUUUUGUAGAAAAUGGUAGAUUAACACUGAUUUCAUAGAGAGCGAAACAUCUCUCUUGUAUGCCAGUCGCGCACAAUUUCAUUAUAUUGACAACAAUAUGUGAACAAAACAAUAAGUAAAAAUGUCAAAAAAUGCAGCAUCAACAUUGUGUUGUUAUCUUAAAAAAAAACCAUAAAAACUACCAAAUAUGUCAAAAACGUAUUUUCCAAUGACCGUUUUUUUGGGGGGGAAAUAGGACGAGACGUUCUUUGACAUGACCCUGGUUACUCAAUUACCGUUGCCAAUUGCUAGAUGUAAGUCAAGAUACGAGACAGACUUAGUGGUAUUUAAUGUAUCUUGUAUCUCAAGUUUGAUGUGAUACAUGUGUUUAACCAUGGAAGUGUCAAUAUAAUACUUCCAUGGUUUAACUUAAGCACUUUAGAUACAGUCUUGUGAGUCUUUUGUAGCAAAAACUCAUCAUAAAUACCAGGACUCAAUUUUGUAUAUAUGCCAGACGCGCGUUUCGUCUACAAAAUACUCAUCAGUAACGCUCGAAUCCAAAAAAAGUUAAAAAGCCAAAUAAAGUACGAAGUUAAAGAGCAUUAAGGACAAAAAUUCCUAAAAGUUUUGCCAAAUCCAGCUAAUGUAAUCUAUGCCUGAGGUAGAAAAUCUUUAGUAUUUCAAAAAAUUCUAAAUUUUGUAAACAGUUAAUUUAUAAAUAUAACCAUAUCAAUGAUAAUUCAUGUCAGCACAAAAAAGUGCUGAAUAAACGUGCUUCUUGUGUACAUAAUGUUAUCUAUAACGACUUUACAUAUAAAUUAUUUUCUGUUUAUAAAUGUUGAAUUAUUAAAUUAUUCGAAACACUUUUAAAAAGUUGUCUCUUUUUGAGCAUAGAUUGCCCUAGUAUUAGUUAAUAUGCUGUGUCAUAUAUAUAAAUUUUCAUUUUUGAUACUCACCAACUUUUUCGAUUCGAGCGCCAAUGAAUAAUUAUUUACACAAUAUUAGUCUGGUACACCAAAUUAUAAGCCUGGGUAAGUUUUAUGUCAGAACUUGAAAAGCAAUGUCAAACCGUAGUGGAAUUUACAAAAAAUACAUACAAAAACUUCAUCAUAAGGAAUAUAUAGCACCAGAAUCAAAAUGAAAAUAUUUUGCUUCGUUUAUUUAUGCAUUCACUUAGUUUUUGACGUCCAAUAUAUCAUUUUCACUUUGACGAAGACUGACCUUUUAACAUUUUUUUUUUCUGCAACUGCUAUGUUGUAAUAUCUGCUCAUUGAACUGUUAAUUGUUUGCUUAAUGAAUUGUAGCCUUAUCUAUAUUAGUACAUAAGGUUUCGAACACCUUUUCGCAAUAAGGUUAUUAGUAUGAAAUAUUACAAGCAAAAUUACCCUUUUUCUUUCAGAAAUUGAAUUGACAUUAGAAGAGGUUCGGAAAUGACAUUGCUAUUAGAAGGUAUUCAUAAAUGUCUCAUGGUGAUAGUUUCACUUCCGACUUUUCCGUUAUGUUGUUUUCACGUUGGUAUUAUAAUCUUAUAUCCAGCAUGGACAAAAAUGAGAAUCACCUUUGAUGUUAGACCUGUAAGUAAAAAGACAAUUUAAGUAUUAUAAAUUAAGGGAAAACUACAUUGUUCGUAGAAAUGAAGUUUAAUAUCAAAAGGGUUACCAGGUUGACGAUCAUAAUUACAGCUUGUUUUGUUUUCUUAAAAUGUCUAAGUUCUAUUAUAAACUUAAAUCAAUCCUAAUUCUAUCUUAUUUUUGAGAUAUAGUUUUUUAAAUGUGACGUCAUUUUUGUGCUGUUUCAGAAAUUCAAAUGUGACGUAAUGUUUGUGCCUUUUCACCACUUCGUAUGUGACGUCAUUUUUAAUGACUUUUUGCGUUGAGGCCUGGACUAAGUCGGGUGUGUCUAUUUUCUGUAUUUUUGGGUCCCUGUAUUAUGUAUUCGGGUUUUGUUUUCUGUAAUUAGUUAAGACUUCAGUUUUAUCAUGUAUAUCUUUUAUAUUCAUUUGAUAAAAUUUACUGUGUGCAAUAGCAUAGAAUGAAAUUCAAAACAGUGUGGCUGUGGCCAUUGAUUGACACAUUAAAUUCAUCCAUUGACUGGGACAAUUUAGGUGAACGUUUGUAUGUAACGACCACUGCUCAAUAUGUACUUUUUAAAGACACUUAGACUAUGGGGUCACCAAAGGUUCUCAACACCUUAAUAAAGUAAUUCGAAAAAUUAAUCAGAAAUAACACGAUGUUUUGAUAUCAAAAACGUAAAGGUUAUUCCUGAUUAAUUUUUCGAAUUAUUUUAUAAUUAAAGGCGUUAAGAAACCUUUGGUGACCCCACAGUUUAAAUGUCUAUCGUAGGUACGUCGUGAACAGUGGUCGUUACAGACAAACGUUCACGUAAAUUGUCCCAGUCAAUGGAUGAAUUCAAUGUGUCAAUCAAUGGCCACAGCCACACUGUUUUGAAUUUCAUUCUAAAUUGUUUUAAAUAAUAAGGAUGUUCUUAUCACAAGCAGAAAACCCUAGCCGUAUUUGGCACAACCUUUUUCAACUUUUGAUCCUUAGUGCUGUACAAUUUUGUACUUUUUUUUACUUUCGAACUUUUAUAUCUGGGCGUCACUGGUAAGUCUUGUGUGGACGAGGCGGGUUUUUGGCGUAUUGAAUUUUAAACCUGAUGCCUUUUGUUAUCUAUCAUUCAUGUGUUUCUUUGCCUAAUAUGUUCUCCUAUUUAUUUGUAUUGUAGUCCUGUAAUAUCAUGUUCUCAUCUUAAUGUUAUAUUUAACAUUGCCAUUAAAGUGCGAGGUUUGGCAUGCCAUACAACCAGGUUCAACCCACCAUUUUUUUCUUUUAAAAAUGUCCUGUACCAAGCCAGGAAAAUGGCCAUUGUUAAAUCAUAGUUCGUUUCUGUGUGUGUAACGGUUUUACGUUAAGUUUCCGUUGUGUCGUUUGUUUUCUCUUAUAUUUUAGUGUGAAUUCACAUUACUAUAAGACGUGUCACGGUACUUUUCUAUUCCAAAUUCAUGUAUUUGGUUUUGAUAUUAUAUUUGUUAUUCUCAUCGGAUUUUGUCUUAUGCUUAGUCCGUUUCUGUGUGUAAAAUUUAAUGUUGUGUCGUACUCCUCUUAUAUUUAAUACGUUUCCCUCAGUUUUGGUUUGUUACCCCGAUUUUGUUUUUUGUCCAUAGAUUUACGAGUUUUGAACAGCGGUAUACACUGUUGCCUUUAUUUAGCAAACUAAAACACUUGAUCUUAGCAACACAGUCAAUAAACCACGACUGAGUGAGCGGACCCGAAUUAACGAAGUGGAAAUGAACUCUGAUAAGGCUAACCAAACAUCAUUAACUGACAAGUACUGGUACUCAUAAACUGAUUUAAUGACUUAACUGACUUUCGAACUUUUGUAUCUGGGCGUCACUGGUAAGUCUUGUGUGGACAAUGCGCACUUCUGGUGUAUUACAUUUUAAACCUGGUCCCUUUUGUUAGCUAUUAUUCGUGUGUUUCUUUGUCUUACAUGUUCUAUUUAUUUGUAUUGCAGUCCUGUAAUGCUAUGUUGUCAUUUUAAUGUUAUAUGUAACAUUGCCAUUAAAGCGGGAGGUUUGGCAUGCCAGAAAACCAGGCUCAAGCCACCAUUUUUUUCUUUUAAAAAAUGUCCUGUACCAAGUCAAGAAUAUGGCCAUUGUUAUAUUAUAGUUCGUUUCUGUGUGUGUUACAUUUUAACGUUGGGUCGUUUGUUUUCUCUUAUAUUUGAGUGUAAAUUCACAUUACUAUAAGACGUGUUACGGUACUUUUUUUUAUCCCAAAUUCAUGUAUUUGGUCUUGGUGUUAUAUUUGUUAUUCUCAUCGGAUUUUGUCUUAGUUCGUUUCUGUGAUUGUUACAUUUUAAUGUGGUGUCGCUGUUCUCCUCUUAUGUUUAAUGCGUUUCCCUCAGUUUUAGUUUGUAACCCCGAUUUUGUUUUUUCCCCAUCGAUUUACGAGUUUUGAACAGACGCAUAAUACUUUUGCAUUUAUUUAAUAAAACAAAAUAUACAUUUUUUACGCUGCCGUUCCCGUCGACGAAAAUAGCACGCCUAAUUUCACUUCGUCGAACAAAGACACAAUUUCUCAUGUUAAUCUGUUUUUUAUAAAUGAUGUUCAUGUUUUUCUUUUUCAGUUGAUGACACUUCAUAAUUUUGUUUGCAGCCUUGCAUCCCUGUAUACAUUUAUUGGAGUUUUAUAUUGUUUUUUAUUCAUGGAAUCAACAUUUAAGCUUGGUCCAGACCAAUGUCAUCUACCAUAUUUUAGAGUGUACUUGAUUACAAAAAUGUUGGAGUUAUUUGACACAGUGAUUAUGAUUCUUCGUCAUAGACGACAACAGAUUAAUUUUCUUCAUGUUUAUCAUCAUACCACCAUGUUGUUGAUAACAGAUGCUGGUUACCACUUUUUUCCAUGGCCAACAAUAUCUGUUUACGUUGCAAUAAAUGCCUUAGUUCAUUUUAUAACAUAUCUGUUUUACGGGUUAUCUACCUUCUUUCCUAAUACAUUGUUACCAUGGAGAAAGACUAACACAAAGAUGGAGAUUGCAGAGUUUUUAGUGUUAAACGUAAUUGCAUCAUUUGCAUAUUUAAACAACGAACUUUGUAUUUAUAGUGUACUUUACGGGAUUACUAUUUUAUCGCUAAAUAUCUAUUAUCUUUCUU